GGAGGCCAGAGCCCUGCAAGGGGCAGGGGUAGAGGAGACCUGGGAUGUUUUGGGCAGCCCCCCCCGUGAGAGAGUGAUAGAGACUGUGCUGGCUUGAAAUUUGAUAUCUUAUGCUGGCACCAUGGCCAGGAGAAGAAGAAGAAGGAGAAGAAGAGGGGGGGUUGGGGCGGGGGCAAGGUGCCCAGCCGCAGGCAGACCGCAGCUGAGAUUUUAAUCUCAUUGUUUUAAUGCCGUUGGUACUGAGAUAAUGGAAGCUGUAAAAAACACCGAUCCUCCCUAUCUGAGAAUUGAGAGGGGACGGGGGAGGGGCAGAUGAGAAGAAGGCUUGACUGAGUGAAGAAAUACCAGCAGAUGAGAAGUGCCCUAGAUGGAGGAGAUGAUUGGAGUGGCUUUGGCUGGACUUUCCUUUUACAUGGCCACAGGACGGAACCAAAUCUUCCUGUAAUGUAGAGAUUGCACCUUGGGGGAGGCGGUUGGCCAGAAGCCAGGAGUGACAAAGCCAUUGUGAGAAGAAGUAGAGGGAACAGAGACUGAUGGGAAGGGUGUGGUGGAGCCCUCUGCCUCCAGUGAAGGAUCUCUGUUCCUGAGAUCCCCAGGCCCCAGGAGAGUAAAUAUGGGGGGGACAGAUGUCCCAAAUGGUGAGAGGCUGCCACUUCUUGGAACUGGGCGAGGCAUUCUUCAAAGGACCUGAGAAGCAGUUUGGAUCCAUGGACAGUGGAUGUGUCUAUUUGGUGGAUAGUGAUUCCAAAACCCAUAUUUCUGUUCUGCAAGACAUGUUCUUCACAUAUACCAGUCAGGCUCUCAGUGUCUCCAAAUCCAGUUCAGACCAGCAUCAUGGAUCCAGGGAUAGAGGAAGAGUGGCUGGAAAAUGGCCCAGCAGAAAAGGACCUGGGAUUGCUGGCUGACACAGCUGAACAUGACCCAGUGUGUGCCCAGAUGGCCAAAGAGGCCCAAUGGCAUCCUGGCCUGUAUCAACAAUAGUGUGGCCAGCAGGACAGGGGCAGGGAUUGUCCCUCAGUACUCAGCACUGGUGAGGCCACACCUUGAAUCCUGUGUCCAAUCUGAGCCCCUCACUGCAAGAAAGACAUUGAGGUACUGAAGUGUGUCCAGAGAAAGGCAAUUAAACCAAUGAAGGGGCUGGAGCACAGAUAUGGCAAUAAAAAACUUCCCAGUUUGGAAUGCUCAGCAUGGGCUGGAGUCUGAAACUGUGUCAACUGAGAUCUGAAGCACCUCCUGUUCAUGGAUGAGACAUGCAAAUCUCAGUGUAUGACAGAAAGAUGGGUUCUGGCGAAAUCCAUCAGGUCUUGCAGUCUAGUUUGUCUGGGAAUCAGAGAUGUAAAUCCUGCCUCAGAAUGCACCUCCUCCCCAGUGUGGACACACGGUCACUUCCUGAGAGUUUAACUGCUUUCAAAAAGCAGCCUAAAUGCAGUUUCAAUUAGCAUAAAUUCAAAAUAAUUAAAGUGCAAUAUGUGCAAAGAGUUUUUUCUCAUUAAACCCAAAUAAGAAAAUAAUUUCUUUAUUAAAUACAUUGCUUCAUUGCAGAGAGAAGCAACUGUUAUUUCUUCAUCUAUU